rnacentral:rRNA from 1 species
GACGAACGCUGGCGGCGUGCCUAAUACAUGCAAGUCGAACGCUGAAGGAGGAGCUUGCUUCUCUGGAUGAGUUGCGAACGGGUGAGUAACGCGUAGGUAACCUGCCUGGUAGCGGGGGAUAACUAUUGGAAACGAUAGCUAAUACCGCAUAAUAGUAGAUGUUGCAUGACAUUUGCUUAAAAGGUGCAAUUGCAUCACUACCAGAUGGACCUGCGUUGUAUUAGCUAGUUGGUGGGGUAACGGCUCACCAAGGCGACGAUACAUAGCCGACCUGAGAGGGGGCUCGGCCACGCUGGGACUGGGACACGGCCCAGACUCCUGCGGGAGGCAGCAGUAGGGGAUCUUCGGCAAUGGACGGAAGUCUGACCGAGCAACGCCGCGUGAGUGAAGGAGGUUUUCGGAUCGUAAAGCUCUGUUGUAAGAGAAGAACGAGUGUGAGAGUGGAAAGUUCACACUGUGACGGUAUCUUACCAGAAAGGGACGGCUAACUACGUG